UACAGAGACUGCAAGCGUUAUUCGGAUUCACUGGGCGUAAAGGGUGCGCAGGUGGUCGGGUGUGUCAGAUGUGAAAUCCCGGAGCUUAACUCCGGAACUGCGUCUGAAACUGCACGACUAGAGCAUUGGAGAGGGUAGUGGAAUUCACGGUGUAGCAGUGAAAUGCGUAGAUAUCGUGAGGAACACCAGAGGCGAAGGCGGCUCACUGGACCAGAACUGACGCUGAGGCGCGAAAGCGAGGGGAGCAAACAGG
rnacentral:rRNA from 1 species